rnacentral:snRNA from 1 species
GGAUGUGAGGGCGAUCUGGCUGCGACAUCUGUCACCCCAUUGAGGGCCAGGUUUGAUUUGGCUGAUCCGGCUGGCUAGGCAGGUAUCCCCUUUCUCCCUCACUGUUCUGUGCACGUCCCUCCUGAAGCUGCCCAUGCUCGGAGAGGACGACCUUCCCGAUAGAGGAAGACCACUCUUUGGUCAAGGGCAUACAAGUAGUUGCACUCUACUGCUACAACUGCCAAACAAGCUCUCAGGGUCCAUUUGCACGAGAAUGUAGGGUAGUCAGUGUUCCAAUACUCUGUGCUGCAUGUGACAGUCUGCCUUUCUUU